rnacentral:rRNA from 1 species
GACAGAGGGUGCAAACGUUGCUCGGAAUUACUGGGCGUAAAGCGCGUGUAGGCGGUCCACCAAGUCAGGCGUGAAAUCCCUGGGCUCAACCCAGGAACUGCACCUGAAACUGGCGGUCUUGAGUGGUGGAGAGGGAAGCAGAAUUCCUGGUGUAGAGGUGAAAUUCGUAGAUAUCAGGAGGAACACCGGUGGCGAAGGCGGCUUCCUGGACCGACACUGACGCUGAGGCGCGAAAGCUAGGGGAGCAAACGGG